rnacentral:rRNA from 1 species
UACGGAGGGGGCUAGCGUUGUUCGGAAUUACUGGGCGUAAAGCGCACGUAGGCGGCUUUGUAAGUUAGAGGUGAAAGCCCGGGGCUCAACCCCGGAAUUGCCUUUAAGACUGCAUCGCUUGAAUCCAGGAGAGGUGAGUGGAAUUCCGAGUGUAGAGGUGAAAUUCGUAGAUAUUCGGAAGAACACCAGUGGCGAAGGCGGCUCACUGGCCUGGUAUUGACGCUGAGGUGCGAAAGCGUGGGGAGCAAACAGG